AUAGAAUCCACAUUAGAUAAUGCAGCAAAUGAUCAAUUGAGUGGCCCAAAGGAAAUAGUAAUUUUGUAGAGUUUUGUUAGGUAGUUUUUAGAUAGAUAACAAUUAUGUGUUUACAAGGACGUUGCACAGAUAAGAGUGGGGUUAUGUAGAAUAGAUAUUAGUUCAUUUUUGUAAGAUAUUGAUAAAAUAGACUAAUAGUCCAUAGAAUAGUCAGUUCAGAAGGACGGAUGAUUAAUUUAAUUAUUAAAAGUGAUUAAUUAUAGAAUUGCGGUUA
rnacentral:lncRNA from 1 species